GAUGAACGCUGACAGAAUGCUUAACACAUGCAAGUCGAACGGUGGUGGACGGGUGAGUAACGCGUAAAGAACUUGCCUCCCAGCUAGGGACAACAUUUGGAAACGAAUGCCAAUACCUGAGACGGUGAGAGAGCUUUGCGUCCCCUUAGCUAGUUGGAGAGGUACCGGAUCACAAAGGCGAUGAUGGGUAGCCGGCCUGGGAGGGUGACCGGCACCAAGGGGACUGGGACACGGCCCUUACUCAUACUGGAGGCAGCAGUGGGGACUUUUGGAAAAUGGACCAAAGUCUGAUCAAGCCAUUCUGUUUGUAAGAUGAGGUUUUCGGAAUGUAAAGUGCUUUCUGUUUGGAAGCGGUACCUACAGAAGAAGUGACGGCUAAAUACGUGCCAGCAGCCGCGGUAAUAC
rnacentral:rRNA from 1 species